GCAAAAGAAGUGGCCAAGCUCGGAGGAGGACAGCAUCUGGUUGCACUUCUCUUAUCUGGGAGCUUCUCUCCGAGGGUCAGAGAUACCGCAGGAAUUGGGCAGAGGUGUACUUCAGCUUUCGAAUGCAUCAUUUGAAAACAAGAGAUGGCAUGCACUGAAGCUGGGAAAAUACCAUGCUUCAUAAAUUGAGGGGAAAAUUUGGCCUUCAUAAUGGAAAAUUCAGAGUGAAGUCCAGACUCUACUAGAGUCAGUGGAAAAACUCCCAUUGACCUUACAGGGGUCAUGGGUCUGCUUUACUUUCUAAGGUCGGAACAGAUCAGAGGAAGACUGUGAAUCUGGAAAGUUUUCAACAACUGCAGCAGAUAAAUGUUUCACUGUUUGUGUCUGAGUUCCAUAAAGUCACUCCUUUAUACUAUGCAGGAAUACCAUGUCCUGCUUUGGAAAGGAUCAGAGAUGAGCUAAUGGUGUGAUGAAAGGCUGGAGAAACAUGGUUGGAAAAAAAGCUCAAGGAUUGCCAUCUAUUUACUGGACUAACAAGAAGAUUAAGGAUUGAUGUGCUAUGAAAUCUCUGACUACCUACGUGAGGAAUUGCCACUUGAUAUGUUUGGUCUGUUGGAGAAAAGCACAGAUGUCAGUGCCUGUAAGCUAGAAGUGACCAAGGCAACUUUAAAAAUUAAAAGCAAAAUUAGACCAUUGUAUGUAAUUGACAGUAUUAAAAGAGUUUGUGAAAUGCUACAGUAGAUUCUUGAUUGCUGAUAAAUUGAAGUAGCAUUGAGAAUUAUUUGUAGAAGUUACACAGAAGUUCAAACAAGAUCUAAAAUAGGUGAGUGCUCUCAUCCACACAACACAAGGAAUAAUAAUUAAAGAUUGCAGUUUUGGCUACUUGGAGCUUGUAUAACGAAAUGUCUGAAAUUUUGCUCUAUAACAAGCAAUUUAAAAAAUCAAAAAUAAAUUUUUCUAAAUAGUUACUUGGAUCGUGACCUGAACUGGUAUCUAUCUAUGUAAGGCAGAAUCCAAUAAAUUGUUUCUAUCUUGUGAUUCCUAGAGAUUCCAGCUCCUCUCUGUACCCCAAAGAUUGUAUAUGAAUAUAUAAGGUACAAUAGAUCUCCAUCCAUCAGGGAUGGGAACUGGAGGCCAAAAGGUUUCUCACAGGCAUCCCAGAUGGCAUUUAGUGAAUAUACUUAGGCACCUAAAUGCCUCUUAAAAGGUUAAAUUUGAGGCCUUUCUUCCAGAUGAAGGACUUUGGAGCAGAGAAGACAGAUUAGUAGAGUUUGUUGGCAGACAUUGCAUCUACUUCCUCCUCUUUUUGCAUGUGCCACCUGAUAUAUAGUUGAAGCACUCACUGUUAAGUCCUUUCCAUUUUCCAUGAAAAAAUAAUGUAUGGGAUACAUUCAGAUCACUCAGGUUUGCUAACUACAAUUCCCACUUCUUUUAAUAGAAGCAGAUAUAUUGUACCGAAUUGAGAAUUUCCACAUUUCAAAGAAUAUUUCAGAUGGUGUAUUAAUAGUUUGUUAAUUAUUUUAGUUUAAAAAGUAUUGCAAGGAAUUUCCAGAUUUAUAUAUGUUUGUGUCUUCUGAAGACAGUUUUGUGCUGGGAGGUACUUUUCAUUUCAAUUGCUUGCAGUACAGCACCUCUUAUACCUCAUAUGUCAGUAGAUAUUCUCACUAUUUUAUGCAUAUAUAUGUAUCGACACAUGUUUAGACUCAUAUAAGUCUGUGUGUGUAUGUACUUACAAUGUUUGUAUAUAUAAUCCACUGUAUAAUCCACACAUAUAUAAUCCACUAAAACGUAUUAUGAGUUUCUGACAAUUCUUAAACUGGUGCAAAUACAUCCUUUUUUCCUCCCCUCAUACUGACCAGCAAUUUAAAAACAGAUUUUCUACCAGAAAUUUCUUGGAAAACAAAUGGGCUUCACGUUAUAGCCUGAAUAUAAAAGUGAAUGUUGAUGUCCUGAGGGUACCCUGAUGCUGUGGCACACCUGAUCACAGUCACAAUGAGCAUAGUCAGCUAGCUUUUGUCUCUCCUACUACAGUUCUAAAGCAAUGUUAUAUAAUGUGCAUGGGACAAAGAUUGCCUCUCUAAAAAGGUGAACAAGUGAUCAGUAAAUAAGGUUCCUAAAUAAAACAUCAUGCAGGAGACCUUCCCACUUUAGGUGAAAAAUACUCCAUGUAAUAACAGGAAGGUGUGCAUUAUGGGUUCAAAAAAUAGGUUGUUUCAAACAAGUUGAUGGACCAGAAUGGAAGUAGGUGAUACAAAUUAAUUUCAGACUUGAUUUUAUCUUCUCUAGUCACUAUAGCUAAGAUUUGAGGCACAUAGUAUUUUGAAGAAGGAAAGAAACCCAUCAGUGUUUUCUUUCAAAAUACAGCUUUUAAUAGGUGCUUGAAAACAGAUGAUGAAACCUGGAUAUUAUAGGGUUUUCUUGAAGCUGGCAGCUUUCCUGUCCUGACAUGAGACCUAUCUUUCAGAAAAGUUUAGCACAGAACUUUCUUAGGGUGGUACAUUGCUUCAUUCAGUUGCCUGACACAAUGUUCUUGCAGUGGUCCAAGGCACUACACUGAAUUAUGAGCCCAGCUGUAGUGAGUUAUCAGUGACUUCAGGGAGUUUACUCAUGUUCAAAGUCUGACCUGGCAUUGGCUACAUUUCUUGCCUCUGGAUGCACCAUGUCAUCUCAAAGGGGUUGCUUACAAGGUCUGAAGCUAUGGAAAAUGUGAUUUUUACAUUUUCUGGUAACAGAUGAACAAAGAUAUGCCAGGAUCAAAGAAAAUAUCUAUCAUUAAGGACAGUUUGGGUGACUAUUUUUUGGUUGUUCUUGAGUUACACAAGUGGCUAACAUCUGAAAAUUCAUCCUUGCACUAAGAAAGAAUAUAACAUUUAUAACCAUCUCACUUUCACUUCCCUCUGUGUAUAUGAUACAUCUAAAGUAUCCAGGCCUUUCCUACACACACAAUGAGGGAGGGCAAAGGAAGAUACAGUAAUGAGACGAAUGAUAGAAAAAAAUUCACUAUUCGCUACUUUGUGAUUUAAACAAAACUAUGUUGCAUCUGUUCUAAUCAAAACCAUAACUUCUCAAUGAGUACAUAAGCUCAUAUAUGAGCCUGCAUAUGUUCUGAAAAUGCAGGCAACAACUGGCAUAUUGCUCAAUGAAAGCAGCAAGUAGAUGAAGCAGAUGAGUUUCAUCUAGCAUCAGUCCAUCUAGCAUAAAAACUCAUUGCUUAGGAACAGCUGACUUCAUGGAGUUAACUAAAGUUUUUGUUAACCCCAGCUAGAGGGGGAGGUGUAGGCUAGACACAUGCUAGAAAUAUAACUGUCUAACUCUUUGCCACCCUAGCAAACUGCAAUGGUUUUAGCCAGCUGCUGACAAGGGCAUGUCAAAGUCCUAACAAUCUUGAGGGGUUCAAAACAAUGCACUUCAGAAGAUAACAAAUAUCACUGCAAUGGCCCAUAGUUUUUGAAAUUAGUUUUAAUGCCCACAAUCACUGUGAAAUAGUGAGAAAAAAAGAAGUAAUGAGUAUUUGCUGAAAGAGGAUAAAUUUAGGUUAAAUAUUAGGAAGAAGUUUUUUACUGUGGGGAUGGUGAGACACUGGAACAGGUUGUCCAGGGAGGUUAUGGAUGCCCAAACCCUGUAAGUGUUCAAGGCCAGGUAGAAUAACACCUUGACAAACCUGUUAUAGUGGAAGGAGUCUCUGUCCAUGGCAGGAGGAUUUGGGACUAGAUGACCUUCAAGGUGCAUUCCAACACCUUAACAUUCUCUGAUUCUAUGAUCCUAUGAUUUGGACUUUUUCCUGGAGGGAUUCAAGCAGAUGCAUUAGACUUUGUAGGAUCUGUGCUGUAUCUUCUGCCUGUCAUGCUCCCACAGGGAGGUGAUUAGGUUGUGCUAUGGAGGUAUCCUGAGGAAAUUGACAGUUAUGUGAACAAGAGAGGAAGGUUCCUGCUGCCCACACCAGCAUCAGACCUGCCAGUUACCUGCUGUGUCCGAAGAUAUUGACAGGAAAUUGCCUGUUUGAGACUCUUUCAUAGUGGGUUUUGUUCCUCCUCAGAGACACACAGGUAUGCUUGGUUAAGGAAAACAAAUGAUCGAGGCUGAGAACUUUUACUUCCAGCAGUUUUCACUGAGCUGUAUUUAGAAUAAGAGAUCUCCACCCUCAUAGUGCUGACAACAGCUAUUUAAUCUAAUUGUUGAAGACAUAAACCAAUUUCCUGCCUGAGUACAUUAACUGACAUUCAAAUUACAUUACCAUGCAUUCUUUCACUCAUACUCUGAGGAAAAUAAGAAGAAAAAGAAAAUUUAAAUUUGUCUGUUGACAUCAAAAAAGCUGACCCCAAAAUCUGAGGGGGACUCAGAAGAGCUUACAGAGUGUAAACUUCAAUGUUGCUGCACUUAAACUGCUAAUUUUGGUUGUGUGAAAUAUUAGGGUUGGAAUUAGGUCUGCCAAAAAGUAAAGGUUUGGAAUGUCCAAAACAGUUCUUGAAUUUGUAUGUCAUUUGUUAACCAGCUCAAGCUGAAGGCAAAGAGAUGCUUUCUGGAACACAAUUUUAACAUUUUCAAAGUGAGGUGUUUCAAUUUUUCACUCUAAAACAAUUUUUUGUUUCACCAUUUAGUUAGCAAUGAUAACUAAAUAACAUUGACGUGUCCAGAAUUGAUCUAAACAUUUUGUUUCAGAUCAAGGAAAACUGUUUGUUCAAUUCAUGAUCUUUUUCCUUAAAAUAUCUGUUAUUUUAUUAUUACUCUUGCAGUCAGUUUGUUGCUAGCAUGCCACUUGACAAUCACAGAAGUAUGCACCUUGGGAAAUUGCCUUAACAAACUGCUGGAAGAAAACCUGUGCAUUUUCUGUAAUGGCAGCACAAGGGGUGGGGAGGCCAGAGGCAGGAGGAGAAAACUGCAGGAACUUUCAUGCCAGAUCCCUGGUGUUACAAUUUUAAACAGGGAUGAUCCAAUGCCUCUCAAUAAAAAGAGUGAUGACACUUUCAAAUGAAGACCUUCUUCUGCAAACCUGGACUAAGAAACAAAAAUAUCUUCAAGCAUGAUUUUUUAACCUCAUUUCUUCUGUGAGAACCUUUAUACCCACAAAGAAAAAAAUGACCCAGCUUUUCCUUUUUAGCUUCCAUAUACUUUUAGUGUUAUGUCACCAUAAACUGAACUACUUAAACGACAUAAAUUAGCUAAAGUGAAGAAAAAGAAAAUAAUUUUAAAAUGAAGUUUGUACUCUUCAAAUUGCCUGUUAAAUGAACCUUUCAGAUCAACAAUCUGUUCUGGCCUUUAUUGAAAGCGGGCUGGUUUCUUAAGCUCAAGUUCUUAUAUUUCACAUGAUGGUUACCAAUACACUAAAGAACAUUGUAAGACAAUAGAAAUGCAAAAUACCUCCUGUUUAAUAUGAUCAAGGACUUCCAAAAAAACCAAAUUAUGUUUAUCCUUUACCUUAUGUUCAAGGGAAAUAUAGGACAUGUUUUUAGACUAAAUUAAUACAUUGUUGUUCAAAAACUCACUUACUCUGUGACUGUAGUCUGUCAUUUAUGGUUAUUCCAUAACUGUGUUAAUUUAUAUUAUUUGUAGAAAGAGCAUGUUUGAAAGAGGGAUUGGUUUCUGUUAACUAACAUCCCUCCUCUGCUAUCUGGCCACAUUUGAAGGAAUGUGACCCUGAGCCCAGGAAGAGUAUGGCAAUUACAAAGAUUGUUCUUCAGUCUGGAAAAAGUCUCUGCCUUCACCAAAGAACAAACAUGGGCAGGAAAAAAUGAUGAGGUAAAGUUGGACAUGAAUAAUAGAGCUCCCUCUCAUCUUUCAUUGUAGACUAGUUGGCCCGGUGAUAAGUUUACAUGAGAAUUUCCUUCACACCCGCUUUGUAUUUACAACCAUCCUUUGGAAUGGGGUCUUGCUGUGCCAAGAACUUUGCAAAGAUGUGGGAAACAAAUGCUGUGGCAAGAGGGAGGGAAGUUUGCAAUCCACUGUGUACAGACAUUUUCUGCUUCUUGGUAGGUGUGCAGAAUCUUCAGUUUUGCAGUUUUGCAGUUCAGCAGGGUCCUUCCCUCAUUGGUGGGUCUCCCCGCUGAUGUAGGUGGGGGAGCCGUGAAGGAGGUGAGCUCCUUCAUGGUGCUGAGUGACACCCUCAGUGCUGAAGUGACAUUGGAUGUUGUCUCUGGAGCAGACAGCACUCACAGUUCUUCAGGUGACAAAGUAGGGUUGUCAGGUCUGGGGUAGAAAAGGAUUUGGGUAGAGACAAGACUUCACAGGAGAAAAGUACAGAGUCAUGAAGGGCUUUGGAGAGGAGGAAACCUGCUGAGAAGGAUGCCCAUCUUGCUUUAAUUUCCUGCAUUAUCAGUAAAGGGUGUAUGCUGUCUUAAAGAUAUUUUUAACCCUCCUUGAGUUAAAUUGAAGAUUCACCCUUCUGAUUGUACAAUUCACAUUUGAAGUACUUAUUGCUCUCAGGUAAAUCCAAAGACAAAGACUCAAAAAGAAGCUUUAAUUUCCCCCCCGGCCAAAGCAGAGAUCUGACCUAGGAUAAUCCAUACUUUAUGCACAAAAUUAGGACAUCUGCAAGAGAUUGAAUAAGUUCCCCAGGAAAGUGGAAGUGAAAAACAUGAAAGAGUGGAGCCACUCUUAUGAUGACAUAACCCCCCCCCCAAACAAAAACAUAUAAAAAAAAAGAAGCCCAAAAACUUACAAACAAAACCAUGUUUCAGAUAAAUAGUGAAGGCAUAUAUUUUUUUGUUUCAGUCAUUGAAUUCUUAUUGUGCCACAACACAGAAGUGUCCUUCUGCUUCAGAUAACUUCAGUACUUGCUACAUAGAAAAUAUGUAUCUCUAAGGAAAAAGGCACUUUUCCAGAUGAAACAUUGACAUAACAGAAAUUUAUUCACAUCCAUUAUUCUAGGAAGGUUUGAUGAAAAACCCUGGUUGUCCCUGAGGGAACUGACUGUUACAAAUCUGAGGUGAAGCCAUCCCAUUGAGUAUUUGAAAGUAUUUAAUUGAUAAUCCAUAGCAUCUCUUUCUCUGUGUAUAUCUGGUAUACAACAGCUGUUAAUGGUGCAUUAUAGCACAUGUUGCACUUAAUUAUGAUACAUUGUUAUAGGCAAUAUUUCAUUGUCAAAAAUACCUUAUUAAAGGUCUGAGAUGCUUUUCAUGUCACUUCCUGACUUUAUUAAAGGAAUACAUUUUUUGUUAAGUCUUAAAAAUAUUUACAUAAUAUAAAAGAAUCAGCACCUCCCCCAAUUUAUUUAUCUGCGUAUACAGAUGGAGAUCUCUCUUUCAAACUGUAAUCGGAGUUACACAGCUACUCUAAAACCUUGAGUUAGCAGAAACUGAUGACCUUUUGUUUUCGUAAAGGAUAGUGUUCAAAACAGGAAGAAUUUGACUGAAAGAACUCUGUGUCUCUUAUAUUCCUUGCUUCUCAUUGAACUGAUAAAAUGUUCCAGGAACUUCAUCUCUCUGGGUGGGCAUGAAAAUAUGCUGGCAAGAUUUCUUUAAAGAAUACUACAAAGUGCCUUAAAAGCAACAAUUUGAUUUUGUUUUAGAAAGAGGCCAUGUGAGAAAAAUUGCUAUGAAUAUGAAUUCUCUCUCUUGUUCUCUUCUUUCAAGAGAUGAUCAAUAAAGUGUGGGGUUAAAAAAUACAAUGUAAUUGUGUUUGUUUAUACAAUCUACAGUGUUCUAUGAAAAUUAUAUUUUCUCAGAACUGGGGAAAAAAUUACCCCAUAGAUGAUGUCUACUCAUUAAUUACAACAAAUACCAAUAAAUUAGAUGGGGAUGGUGAAGCUCAAAUUCAUUCAGGUGGAAUAGCAGAGCAGAUUACCCAAUACACAGCAUGCAGAAAUAUUGACUGAUUAAUUCAAAAUCACUACAAUCAUUUCAGUGUUUUUUCAGUGAAAUUUUGUGAACACUCACACAGAAGAACUUGUCACUCACUGGUAAGAAAAUAUGUCAAUGCCACUUUUGGAAACAAUCUGUGAUAUCUGCUUAUCAUAAAUGACAGACUGCAAGUACAUUCUCUUGUUACUUAUUUGAACAUUUUUAAAAAAGAAAUAAUCCUAUUACCUGCUAGUCUAACCUCAAUGCCUGCAAAGUAUGUAGAAGAUUACUUUAAAAAUAAUGCAAUCAUCAGACACAGUCAAAAAAUUCGUGGAGUUACAAUUGGAAAGCCCUUUUUAAGCACUUUGAUGCCUUUCAAUGUAAGGUUACAUUUUUAGUGAAUGAACAGGAGGUAGUGCACAUAGUUUUUCUUGAUAUUAAUAAGGCUUUUCAUGCUGUUCUUCACAACAUCUGGGUAAGCUGUUCAGCUGAACAGGUACACAGUGCUGAGUGAAGGACUUGCUGAAGGGUAGAGUUCAAAAGUCUGUUGUGUAUGGGGCUACAUGUGGGUUCUGACCAGUCACCAGUGGUGUUCCUCAAGAUUCAAUUGUAGGGCAAUUUCCAUUCAGUGUGUCUAUCCAUGGUCAGGAUGCAGGAGUUUAAUGCACCAUUGGCAAAUUUGCUGAUGAUACCAAAUUGGAGGUACUUUUGAUUCUCUCAAGUCACAAGAGCUUUGCAGAGGUUCUGAAAUAGAUUAGAGCACUGUGUAAUUAUCAGUGGCAUGAAAUUAAACAAGAACAAAUCCAGAUUCUGCCCCUGGCAUGCAGUAAGGCUGGGCACGGGUAUAAGCUG